GCGGGCUUAACUCAAUUGGUAGAGUACCACCCUUCCAAGGUGGCUGUUGACGGUUCGAGUCCGUUAGCCCGCUCCA
rnacentral:tRNA from 1 species